rnacentral:tRNA from 1 species
GUCAAAACAGUCAGUGGUUAGAGCGUAGGUCUCGUAAACGAAAGGUUGCGAGAUCGAAUCCCGCUAGAGGCU